rnacentral:rRNA from 1 species
AACAUAGGACGCAAGCGUUAUCCGGAAUUACUGGGCGUAAAGCGCGUGUAGGUGGUUGCGUAAGUCACUGUUGAAAGCUCCCGGCUAAACUGGGAGAGGUGCGGUGAGACUGCGUGGCUAGAGUAUGGGAGAGGGGUGCGGAAUUCCGGGUGUAGUGGUGAAAUGCGUAGGAUAUUGGGAGGAACACCAGUGGCGCAAGGGAC